rnacentral:tRNA from 1 species
GCGGCAUUCGUAUAGGGGCAAUACAUCACGUUGCCAACGUGAAGACACGAGUUCAAUUCUCGUAUGCCGCU